rnacentral:lncRNA from 1 species
GUAACUUCAGCACUUUAGAUUACUGUAGUGUCAAUGAUGGUGCUGUUAGUUCAAUGUAAUCUCUGUCCAGGUUAGCUCAAGGUCUAGGCCUGUCCUGAGCCAAGCUGAAGAUGUGAAUGGAUAAUCUCUCUGGCACCACUAUGAUGGGUUAGGGCAGAAGAGUCCUACUCGUAUGGAUUAGUCUGAGCCUGUUUGUGAGUUUCCAUACAGUCGCAGGGUACAGAGAGC